UGGGGAAUAUUGGACAAUGGGCGCAAGCCUGAUCCAGCCAUGCUGCGUGAGUGACGAAGGCCUUAGGGUUGUAAAGCUCUUUUGGCGGGGAAGAUAAUGACGGUACCCGCAGAAUAAGCUCCGGCUAACUUCGUGCCAGCAGCCGCGGUAAUACGAAGGGAGCUAGCGUUGUUCGGAAUCACUGGGCGUAAAGCGCACGUAGGUGGGCAGUUAAGUCAGGGGUGAAAGCCCGAGGCUCAACCUCGGAAUUGCCUCUGAUACUGGCUGUCUAGAGUUCGAGAGAGGUGAGUGGAAUUCCUAGUGUAGAGGUGAAAUUCGUAGAUAUUAGGAAGAACACCGGUGGCGAAGGCGGCUCACUGGCUCGAUACUGACACUGAGGUGCGAAAGCGUGGGGAGCAAACAGGAUUAGAUACCCCCGUAGUCCCUGAGCGGGCUGGCAAGGCGCAU
rnacentral:rRNA from 1 species